UAACAGUGAAUUUUCAGAAGAGCUCAGUGGGUUCUCCCCCCAUCGCCAAGGCUGUACCUCACCCUGCCCUCCCGCUUCCCUCACCCUCCACCCAUCUUCCCCCCAAAACCCUUUUCUGAAAGCAGAGGAGCUGCUCGGAGCAGGAAACAAUGUGGCUGCUCUGAAAAUACACCAAUUAAUAUCAGCGUUUCAUUUCUUAAUGAGAACUAACUACAGCUACUGUCCUCUCAGACUGCUGAUGAACUGCAUCAUCUGCAUGGAAAAACAGAAACAACUAAACCCUUUUCCUACAUCUCAAGAACACCCUUCGCCUCGCAGAGAACACUUCAAAAAUAAAUGCAUGCUGUUAUCGGUGGUAUCUUUUCAGCAUUAAAUUAAGCUGCAGAGCGCCCAUCCUAGCUCGGUGCUGAGCCCUUCCCUCUUCAUUCCUUCCACUGCCAUUCCCAGUCUGCCUUCCACUCACGAGUCCAUCUCACACCUCACCCCAACGUAUGCUUUUUUCCUGUGACUUUUUGUGUUUCCUCCUGCGUCACCCACUGUUUAAUUCUGCAGUAGAUUCGCAAAGCUGUAUGCGUGGAAAUUACUAUAGAAAGUUCUCUUGAAAUAAAAUUUCAGAAAAUUACUUUAGGCA
rnacentral:lncRNA from 1 species